AGAGUUUGAUCCUGGCUCAGGAUGAACGCUGGCGGUAUGCUUAACACAUGCAAGUCGAACGGUCUCUUCGGAGAUAGUGGCGGACGGGUGAGUAACGCGUAAGAAUCUACCUACAGACUCGGGACAACAGUUAGAAAUGACUGCUAAUACCGGAUAUGCCUUCGGGUGAAAGAUUUAUCAUCUGUAGAUGAGCUUGCGUCCGAUUAGCUAGAUGGAGUGGUAAAGGCACACCAUGGCGACGAUCGGUAACUGGUCUGAGAGGAUGACCAGUCACACUGGGACUGAGACACGGCCCAGACUCCUACGGGAGGCAGCAGUGGGGAAUUUUCCGCAAUGGGCGAAAGCCUGACGGAGCAAUACCGCGUGAGGGAAGAAGGUCUGUGGAUUGUAAACCUCUUUUGUUAGGGAAGAUAAUGACGGUACCUAACGAAUAAGCAUCGGCUAACUCCGCGCCAGCAGCCGCGGUAAGACGGAGGAUGCAAGCGUUAUCCGGAAUUAUUGGGCGUAAAGCGUACGUAGGCUGUUUCAUAAGUCUGUUGUCAAAGAGCGAGGCUUAACCUUGUAAAGGCAAUGGAAACUGUGAGGCUAGAGAGAGAAAGGGGCAGGAGGAAUUCCAGGUGUAGCGGUGAAAUGCGUAGAUAUCUGGAAGAACACCAGUGGCGGAAGCGUCCUGCUGGAUCUCAACUGACGCUGAAGUACGAAAGCUAGGGGAGCGAAUGGGAUUAGAUACCCCAGUAGUCCUAGCCGUAAACGAUGGGUACUAGGUGUUGGCCGUAUCGACCCGGUCAGUGCCGUAGCUAACGCGUUAAGUACCCCGCCUGGGGAGUACGGUCGCAAGAUUGAAACUCAAAGGAAUUGACGGGGGCCCGCACAAGCGGUGGAGUAUGUGGUUUAAUUCGAUGCAACGCGAAGAACCUUACCAAGGCUUGACAUGUCGCGAAUCCUCCUGAAAGGGAGGAGUGCCUUCGGGAGCGCGAACACAGGUGGUGCAUGGCUGUCGUCAGCUCGUGUCGUGAGAUGUUGGGUUAAGUCCCGCAACGAGCGCAACCCACGUAUUUAGUUGCCAGCAUUAAGUUGGGCACUCUAGAUAGACUGCCGGUGACAAACCGGAGGAAGGUGUGGAUGACGUCAAGUCAUCAUGCCCCUUACGCCUUGGGCUACACACGUACUACAAUGGCAGGGACAAAGAGCUGCGAGCAUGCGAAUGCAAGCUAAUCUCGUAAACCCAGUCUUAGUUCAGAUUGCAGGCUGCAACUCGCCUGCAUGAAGGCGGAAUCGCUAGUAAUCGCAGGUCAGCAUACUGCGGUGAAUACGUUCCCGGGCCUUGUACACACCGCCCGUCACACCAUGGAAGCUGGUCACGCCCGAAGUCGUUAUCUCAACCUUUCGAGGAGGGAGGCGCCUAAGGCAGGGCUGGUGACUGGGGUGAAGUCGUAACAAGGUAGCCGUACCGGAAGGUGCGGCUGGAUCACCUCCUUAUAGGGAGACCUAUUUACUCUUAGACCGAAACAAUACAGGAAUAAGUCAAGAGUAAGUCAUCCCAAGGUCGGUCGAAGGAUAUUGGAAAGCUUUCAAACUAAGUCAGGUUCUAAAUUUGGCUAACGCAAAGGGCCAUUAGCUCAGUGGGUUAGAGCGCACCCCUGAUAAGGGUGAGGUCACUGGUUCGUGUCCAGUAUGGCCCACUUGAGAAAAGGCAAAAGGUCAAAGGAAAAAGGAAAAAAUAGAAUCAAUGUUUUUUACUUUUUACUUUUCACUUUUUACUUGGACUCUGGGGAUAUAGCUCAGUUGGUAGAGCGCCUGCUUUGCACGCAGGAAGUCAGGAGUUCGAAUCUCCUUAUCUCCACCAAACUACAAACAAGACCAACACAAGCAAGAGCAAGAGUUUAGCAACUUAUCUAGUUAGGAAAACUACAAGUAAGACCAAGAAACUAGAGAGACUGCUAAAUUCUAGCGAGAGCUAGAGUUUAGAAAGAACCUUGAAAACUGCAUAGUAAAGAAGUAACGAAGAAAGCAAGUAGAACCGAAGUAGAGAUACAGAGGUCAAGCUACAAAGGGCUUACGGUGGAUACCUAGGCACACAGAGGCGAGG
rnacentral:rRNA from 1 species